rnacentral:lncRNA from 1 species
AAAAAUAUUGAGGUUUUGGUAAAUUCUUUAUAUACUGAAGCCCAUAAUCUUUAGUGAUGUUUUAAAAUUUCUACUAUAUUCUACAUUUGUAUUAAUGUAUGCUAAACUCUUUUUCAUGGUAAAUGAGCAUCUUUCAAUUGUUUUUAUCAAUUAAUUUAAUAAAAAUUCAUAACACUCCCUAAAUCGAUGGAAUAACCACUAUAAAAUUAUUAUUUUCUUGAUAAACGGAGACGACAAAUGCUUCAAACCUCUUUGAACAUCAUCAUAUGUUAGUGCAGGAUGCAACCAAGCAUUAAAACAAUAUUUU